rnacentral:rRNA from 1 species
UACGGAGGGUGCAAGCGUUGUUCGGAAUCAUUGGGCGUAAAGCGCGUGUAGGCGGCUUUUAAAGUUUGGUGUGAAAGCCCGGGGCUUAACCCCGGAAGUGCACUGAAUACUGAUUAGCUAGAGGGUGAGAGAGGAUAGUGGAAUUCCUGGUGUAGGGGUGAAAUGCGCAGAUAUCAGGAGGAACACCAAUGGCGAAGGCAGCACUCUGGGACGUGACUGACGCUGAGACGCGAAAGCGUGGGGAGCAAACAGG